GACCUGGUAGUAUGAUGGUUAGUGCACCUGUGUUCAGUGACGGAGUCGCAGUGAUUUAUUCAGGGGAUCCUUGUUCGAUUCGGGGUCAGGUCA